UCUCCCGUAAUGCCUCGGUCCGCCCGUCGCCACACUAUAUUGUGUUUUUCUUUAAAGUUUUCACUAUAAAAACCAGAAAAUUAAUUGACAACAAAUCAUUAUUUGGUAGACUUCUGAACGAAUUAAUGGAAUUUAAAUGCUUUCUUAUUGGGAAAAUUGCCUUGGAUCGCGUACAAAUUGGUUCACGACCACUUUCCUGGAACGGAUUGUGUUCGUGAACCGCAGGCACCACUGUAGUAAGAAUCCACGCAAUAAAAGUCACACUGAAAUAUCCAGGUGUGGAUACAGAUGUGUCUGCGUCCAUGUGCCUGCUGAGUACUUUGUACUUUAUGGUAUGCCAAGUGUCAAGCGCUGAUUUUUCGUGACUCUGCAACAGAUGAAAUGCAUUUCCUGCUUCCACAAAAGCACUCCGUAAUUCCGCAGAAUCGAUUUCUUCCACGAAAUGACUCUGUAUCAUUCAUGACAUUCCUUUCCUCCACAAAAUGACUUUCGUUCAGGAAAUGCAUUUUGUACACAAAAUGAAUUUAUUCAGUUGACAAAAUUCAUUUCGCCCACUAACAUUCUUCCAUUCAAUUCCAGUCCGUUUCCAAGGAGAUGUUGGAACAGUUACGUCAGUUACGUUAUCAGUAGCCUACGUAUGUAAGUUCUAGAAUCUAGAGUGCUGAUGUCAUUCGCAUUCCUAUAUAAACGGCAAAUUCAUCUUCACAUUUCAUUUUGAACAAAAUCAACAUACGUGCAUGUACAUUCACUUUAUCAUGGCAAGGAAUUUCUUUCAGAGAGCUGUAAACCAGCUUAAAAACAAAGAGUUUCGGAAGUAUCUGAGGAGGUAUGUGCAUCCAGAGGCGCUUGCAGUUUAUGUAAAAAUCCAAUAUGUAAACUUUCCUUGUCAAUUGCCGUCAGUGUAUAAGAAGCUUAAACUCUUCACUUUGUUGUAGAUGUAAGCAUAAAGUCACUGCUUACAUUUGGGUCCCUCAUUGCAGAAGUGCUGCUGGUGAUCACAGAAUUGCACUUAUAAUUUUUUUUGUUUGUUUUCUUUGUCUUUCCGUGAUCUGAAUGUGCCUGUUGGGAAAAUCCUUACAACAAAAGCACGCACUUCUGGGGACCAGUUAUUAAUUGGGGUCUUCCCCUAGUCGCAGUCAGCGAUAUGAGGAAGAGCCCCGACAUCAUCAGCGGUCGAAUGACCUUCGCUCUUACCUGUUACUCAAUGAUAUUUAUGAGGUUCUCAUACCGAGUCCAGCCCCGAAACUGGCUCCUUUUUUCUUGCCACAUGGCCAAUGUGACGGCACAAGUGAUCCAGGGAGGCCGGCUCAUCCGACACAAAAUGCAGAACAAAAAUGCGAAAUGAGCCUUUGCAUGCAGUAGAUCAGAGCACAGACGGGUUCGUGCAGAUAAAGGCAAAUUGAGGAAGAUCUCUACCAGAUCCAUGCAUCAGAUCAGGAGAGCAGCUGCUAAAAUGCCAUUAUGUAGCAGCAAACAGAUAUUUGAAGCUGCUGGUGCCUCUGGAGUCCCAUGGACAUCAAGGUGUAGAGUCCUCCACUGCAACUGUGCAUAAACCUUCUAUUCUGCCGCCACUAACCAGUGCUCACAAGCAGAAACUGUCCAAAUACACAAGUUCAAUGGAUGCAAGACUUGUGAAGCUGCUAUCAAAUAAGGAGUCCUAUGUCAAAAUGUGACGUGACCUGUUUGAUUUCAGUACAUAUGUUGCAAACACAACAAAUGACAAUUUUCAGUUCUUUGCAACUUAUAAAGUGUUUUGCAGCUUACUGUGCAUAAUAAUUUGGAACAGUUCAUUGUAAGUGUUUUGUUUGACAAAAAAAUACUGUAAUCAUUAGAUUUGUUCAAUAAAAUUUGAAUUGCACUCAAUAGUUGACAACAUGAGAA